GGAAGGAUCAUUACCGAAUUGUCAACAAGAGUUGUUGCUGGUCUCCGUAUGGGGGCAUGUGCACGCUCUGUUUACACAUCCACUCACACCUGUGCACGCUCUGUAGUUCUAUGGCCUGGGUGGGCUCUGUCCUCCUGCUGUGGUUCUAUGUCUUUACACACACACUACAACAAAGUCUCAUGGAAUGUAUGUCGCGUUUAACGCAAUGGAAUACAACUUUCAGCAACGGAUCUCUUGGCUCUCGCAUCGAUGAAGAACGCAGCGAAAUGCGAUAAGUAAUGUGAAUUGCAGAAUUCAGUGAAUCAUCGAAUCUUUGAACGCACCUUGCGCCCUUUGGCUAUUCCGAAGGGCAUGCCUGUUUGAGUAUCAUGAACACCUCAACUCUCAUGGCUUGCCAUGAUGUGCUUGGACUUUGGGGGUCUUGUUGGCCUGUGAGCCAGCUCCUCUUAAAUGAAUCAGCUUGCCGGUGUUUGGUGGCGUCACAGGUGUGAUAACUAUCUACGCUUGUGGUUUCCCACCAGGGUAACCUUCAGCAAUGAAGGUUCACCGGAGCUUAUAAAUGUCUCUCCUCAGUGAGGACAGAUUUUGACCAUUUGAUCUCAAAUCAGGUAGGACUACCCGCUGAACUUAAGCAUAUCAAUAAGCGGAGGAAAAGAAACUAACAAGGAUUCCCCUAGUAACUGCGAGUGAAGCGGGAAGAGCUCAAAUUUAAAAUCUGGCGUGCCUCUGGUCG
rnacentral:rRNA from 1 species